GUUGUGGAAUCGAAUCAACCAGAGAUCAAGAUCAAUGCUAAGCAAUCACAGCUAUGAAACGAUUUCGUGAGAUCAAUCUAAUCGAUACGAGAGAAUCAAAGACUAGAAAUCACGAUAAAGACACAGCGAGAUGUUAUCCAGUUCGAGCGCAAACCGCGACUCUACGUCUGGCCGAGGAUCACCUCGGAAUCCACUAAGCUCAGUGUAUUCAACACCGCCGUAUCAACGCCGUAACUCUUACCCGAAAAGCCCCAAGAGAAAUCACUCACCCCCGUAGAAUCUAACUCCUCUCUAUCGCUUUUCUCUCUCCCCGUGUUUCCCAGAAAUGAUCUACACUCUUUACAACUCGUCACACAAGCUAGAUAACAACCGCAGUCAACGGCCUCUAACCGUGGACCCCACUCUGUAACAAACUUUCGACGAAGCAAGACGAUGACGUGAUACGACGGCGUAUUACAAUGAUAUUAAACCGACUCCUAAACCGGAAUACAAUUAACAAUCAUUAAUCGAACCAAAACCGGUUCUGAUUUCUUCGAGUCUUCACAACCAACUUCCUACACACUCCACCUUGGUUGCAAGACUUCACGCUGAGCUUAGAUGAACUCCAUCCUCGAGUUCCCUUCUGUUCUCAAAGUACAGAAGCGCCCAGUAAGCUCAAAAGAUGUUUGAACUUACUUACCGGCAAUACUUUUGUGAAGGUAUCUGCAAGGUUCUUAUCAGUAUGCACCUUUGACACCUGCACUUCACCUUUCUCCACCAAUUCCCUGACAAAACUUAACUUCCUCGCCAUAUGUUUCGUCCUUUCAUGAUGAACAUUAUUCUUCGCAAGAGCCCUAGCGCUUUGAGAAUCACAGAAGAUCUCAAUGUUUGCUUGUUUAUACCCAAACUCUUCACUAAGACCCAUUAGCCAAAUAGCUUCCUUUGAUGCUUCAGUUAGCGAGAUGUACUCAGAUUCAGUUGUUGAUAGAGCUACAACCUUCUGUAAGCUUGAUCUCCAACUUAUAGCACACCCACCAGACAAGAAAGUAUAGCCUGAUAUGGACCUUCUCCUAUCAAGGUCACCUCCAAAAUCAGAGUCACAGAACCCCACAAUCUUGAACUCCUCUGCCCUUUCAAACUUCAAACUCAUGCAACGAGUCCCAUUGACAUAUCUCAAUAUCCACUUGACUGCAUCCCAGUGUUCUCUGACCGGAUCACUCAUGAACCUACUCACUAGUCCGACAGGGUAAGCUAGAUCAGGUCUAGUACCUAUCAUACCAUACAUGAGACUUCCAACAGCAUUGCAGUAUGGAACUGAUCUCAUGUAUUCUUCAUCCACUCUUACUCGCUUCGGAUCUGCUGAUAUCAGUUUGAAAUGAGCUCCAAUAGGAGUGUUAACACUCUUAGCAUUCUCCAUUGAAUACGUUUUUAACACUUUCUCCAUGUAACUUUCUUGUGAUAAGAUCAAUGUCCCCUUAGCUCUGUCUCUUAUGAUUUCAAUUCCAAGAAUCUUCCUUGCAGCUCCUAAGUCCUUCAUCUCGAACCUUGAACUUAGCUGAUCUUUAAUGUUGUUUAUGAUUGUCAUGUCUUUGCUUGCGAGUAACAUGUCGUCAACAUAUAGUAGCAAGUACACAAACACUCCACCUACCCGCUUGAUAUAGACACACUGAUCAUGACAACUCCUUUUGAAAUCAAUCUCCUUCAUGAACUCAUCAAAUUUCUUAUUCCACUGUCUAGGGCUCUGCUUGAGACCAUACAGGGACUUUCUCAGUCUACAUACCCAAUCCUCUUUACCUUUUUCUUCAUAUCCUUCAGGUUGAGUCAUGUAUAUUUCUUCUUCAAGAUCACCAUGAAGAAAUGCGGUUUUCACAUCUAGCUGCUCCAGCUCCAUGUCUUCUUGAACCACAAUCGACAUCAAGUAUCUUAUAGAUACAUGUUUAACCACAGGAGAGAAAAUCUCGUUGUAAUCUACCCCUUCCUUCUGAGCAUAGCCCUUUGCUACAAGCCUGCCCUUGAACCUUGGAUCCUCUACUCCUAAGAUUCCAGGUUUUCUUUUGUAAAUCCACUUGCAUCCUAUUAUAGCUCUCCCUUUCGGUUUCUUUACGAGAUCCCAAGUGUGAUUUCUCUGCAACGAAUCCAUCUCGUCAUCAGAUGCAAGAAUCCAUUUCUUUCUGUGAGGAUCUCUCAUUGCAGACUUGUAAUCACUUGGUUCAACCAUAUCUCCAUCUUCAGCAACCAUACAUGCUAGAUAAACGUAAUCAUCAAGCUUCUUAGGAGGUUUCGGUUCUCUUCUACUUCUGUCUCGGGCUAACUGAUAGCUCCCCGUUACAGCCUCCCCUCCAGAGCCUUCUUGAUCUGAAAAAUCUUCUUCAGAAUCACUACUUUCAACUGCGAUCACAUCAGUGUUAACCACACUAUCUUGAUUUGCCUCCUGACUCUCUCCACCUGAACUCAUAUCCUUCUCUUUGGAUAUACCGAGUUCUAUAUCAAGAAAAUUUAUGUUACUCUCUUUGUGUUCAGAUGACUUUCCCUUUAAGUCUUUGUAACACUCAUCUUCUUUGAAAGUAACACUCCUGCUUAUGAUACUUCGUUUAUCUUCUAAAGACCAGACCUUGUAACCCUUUACCCCAGUAGGAUAACCAAUGAAUAUACCCUUCUUAGCUCUAGGUUGUAGUUUUCCUUCAUCAGAAUGAUGAUAGCACACACAGCCGAACUUCUUCAAAUGGCCAAACUGCGGAACUGUUUUUGACCAAAUUUCUUCAGGUAUCUCAUUCUGAAGAGCAGCAGAUGGGGUUCGGUUUAUCAGAUACACAGCAGUGUUAGCAGCCUCUGCCCAGAAAACUUUAGGUAAACCAGACUCAUCCAACAUACUCCUAACUCUUUCCAGAACUGUUCUGUUCAUUCUUUCCACAACACCAUUCUGUUGUGGUGUAUAAGGGAUAGUCUUAUGCCUUGCUAUACCUUGAUCUGAACAGAGAUCAUCAAACCUUUUAUUGCAAAACUCAAGUCCAUUAUCAGUUCUCAGCGUCUUGACCUUGAGACCAGACUGUUUUUCAACAAGAGUUUUCCAAUCUGCAAACCUGUCAAACGCUUGGUCUUUUGUCUUUAAGAAAUAGAUCCAAACCUUCCGUGAGUGAUCGUCAAUUAUACUCAAAAAAUAGUGACAGUUUCCGAGUGACUGAGGAACUGUGGGUGAGCCCCAGAGAUCAGCGUGAACAUACUCAAGACACGCCUUGCUUGUGUGUUGACCGGAGCCAAAGCUUACACGGUGAGCCUUCCCAACUAUACAGCUCUCACAGAACUGUAAAGUUGAUAUCUUCUUCUUAUCAAGCAGCCCCUUCCUGACUAGAACGUCUAUCCCUUUUUGACUUACAUGUCCCAGUCUACUAUGCCAUAAGCUUGUCUCAUCUUCCACAGACACCAGGUUCACUUCAUCAACGUGACUACUUCCCUGAAGAAAAUACAAGUUACUCUCUCUCUUGGCCUUUAGAACUGUUCUGCAUCCUUUUGUCAACUUCAAGUAACCUUGUUCAGAUGAAAAUGAACAUCCUUCACUUUCAAACACUCCAAGUGACAACAGAUUUCUUGAAAACUGUGGAAUGUACCUCACAUUUUUGAUGAGUACGAAGCUACCAUCAGAUGUCUUAAUACGAACCGUGCCAAUUCCCUUGACAGAAGAUGUAGACUCAUUAGCCAUUCUUACUGAUCCUACAUCCCGUUCUUCAAAAUCUAUGAACCAGUCUCUUCUUGGAGUCAUAUGAAAAGAACAACCAGUAUCCAUUAUCCAAAUCUCUCUGUAGUCGUAUGAUUCAGCAACGUUUACUUCUGACACAGUGAGAGAUUCAAUGUACUUGAUGCCAGUUACUGCAGACGACUCACCAGUCUCCUUUGUCGCUUCCUUUCCUCUGUCAUGGCUUCGUUUAGGACAGUUUCUUUUGAAAUGGCCCUCAGCACCACAGGUCCAACAGGUAGGUUGAUUCCCUUUUCCUCGAGACUUCGAUCUACCCUUCCCUUUGAACUUGCUCUGAUUUGAGUCUCUUGUACCUGACCUUCCUCGGUUAUUAGAGCUUGAGUAUAACACUUCACCUUGAGAUUUGCUCCCCUUGCCAUUCCCAUUCACUCCCAACUCUAGUUGUUUUGAAUGGAUGGAGCUAAUAACUUCAUCAAGUGUCACAGUAGUCUUACUAUAUCUCAAUGUAUCCCUCAGCUGAUCAAACUGUUUUGGGAGUGACAUCAAGAGUAAGAUAGCUUGAUCUUCAUCAGAGAUCUCCACCAUGACAUUACUCAGAUCUGUUAUGAUUCUCAGGAAUUCAUCAAUGUUAUUCUCAAUAGUCAGCGACUCAUUCAUAUGAAAACCAUAUAAGCAUUGCUUCAAAUGCAUCCUGUUCGGGAGCGACGUAGACAUGUACUGAGCAUCCAGUAUCUUUAACAUACCAACUGCGGUCUUCUCCUUUAUGAUCUUCCUCAAGAUCUGAUCCGUCACAUACAUGAUGAUGGUGCUUCGUACUUUUCUCUGCUUCUCAGCCAAAGAUACAUCGACUUGUUGCUUCGAAUCAGAUUCAUCUGCAACUCCCUUAAGCUUCGUAUCUUCCAGCUUAUCCUCAGACUUCUUCAGAUCUUCUUCUUGACUUAUAAGAGCAUCCCUAAGUCCAAGAAGAUCCAGGUUCGCCAGUAACCUUUCCUUCCACAUGUUGUAAUCGAUCGAGCCAUUGAACUUUUCCAUCUCAACCUUCGCUUUCGCCAUCUUGACGAUAUACUUUCGUCGAUGCCGAUCAGCCGCCUUCGAUUCCUUCCCUAGAUAGCAAAACCUAGGCUCUGAUACCACUUGUUGUGGAAUCGAAUCAACCAGAGAUCAAGAUCAAUGCUAAGCAAUCACAGCUAUGAAACGAUUUCGUGAGAUCAAUCUAAUCGAUACGAGAGAAUCAAAGACUAGAAAUCACGAUAAAGACACAGCGAGAUGUUAUCCAGUUCGAGCGCAAACCGCGACUCUACGUCUGGCCGAGGAUCACCUCGGAAUCCACUAAGCUCAGUGUAUUCAACACCGCCGUAUCAACGCCGUAACUCUUACCCGAAAAGCCCCAAGAGAAAUCACUCACCCCCGUAGAAUCUAACUCCUCUCUAUCGCUUUUCUCUCUCCCCGUGUUUCCCAGAAAUGAUCUACACUCUUUACAACUCGUCACACAAGCUAGAUAACAACCGCAGUCAACGGCCUCUAGCCGUGGACCCCACUCUGUAACAAACUUUCGACGAAGCAAGACGAUGACGUGAUACGACGGCGUAUUACAAUGAUAUUAAACCGACUCCUAAACCGGAAUACAAUUAACAAUCAUUAAUCGAACCAAAACCGGUUCUGAUUUCUUCGAGUCUUCACAACCAACUUCCUAC
rnacentral:lncRNA from 1 species